rnacentral:rRNA from 1 species
CUACGGGAUGCAGCAGUGAGGAAUAUUGCACAAUGGGGGGAACCCUGAUGCAGCAACGCCGCGUGGAGGAUGACGCAUUUCGGUGUGUAAACUCCUUUUAUAUGUCAAGAAAAUGACGGUAGCAUAUGAAUAAGCACCGGCUAACUCCGCGCCAGCAGCCGCGGUAAUACGGAGGGUGCAAGCGUUACUCGGAAUCACUGGGCGUAAAGGACGCGUAGGCGGGUUGGAAAGUCAGGUGUGAAAUCCUACAGCUUAACUGUAGAACUGCACUUGAAACUUCUAAUCUAGAGUAUGGGAGGGGGAGAUGGAAUUAGUGGUGUAGGGGUAAAAUCCGUAGAUAUCACUAGGAAUACCUAAGGCGAAGGCGAUCUCCUGGAACAUUACUGACGCUAAGGCGUGAAAGCGUGGGGAGCAAACAGGAUUAGAUACCCCAGUAGUC